UCUUGAGGACUUGCUUUUUAGGCGAGUGUUACUAGCAUUUCUCCAAUCUUUUUACCCGGGCUGCUACUAUUCGUUUCAGAAAAAGCCAGUCGUCAAAAUCCGACCCGGUUAGACGGGUCUCCAAAGCUUAAAACCCUAGGACCCGACAUCUACCAAAUCAGAGAGAUUGCGGGUGAAAGAAAAUGAGGGGUAGGAUCUAUAGUUACGGCCCUUUGCCGCCGAGGGGUUACGGCAGGCGACGCCGUAGCCCUAGCCCGAGAGGUCGCUAUGGAGGUCGUGGUAGGGAUCUUCCCACCAGUCUCUUGGUCCGCAAUCUUCGCCAUGACUGCAGUGUUGAAGACACCCAUGAAGUAAUAAGAGUACUGUGUUGAAGACAAGAAUGAAGUAACAAGAGUGUUUAUUCAAGAGAUCAAUGAAGUAAGUAAUUGUUGAAGAUGGUUUUAGUAUACACGAAGAUUUUGAAGAAAGUUGUUCUUAGUGUACACGAAGAUUUUGAAGAAAGUUGGGUUGAAAACAUUGAGAAGAAGUUGAAGUGUUGAAGAAUUUCAACUCAAUUUAUCUUUGACUCCAACAAGGUUAGCAGCCAUUGAUGUUUUCACUUGAAUUGUAUAAAGUGUGUGGCAAUUAUUUGUGCCUAUCAUGCUGACUAGAGCUUCGACCAUGUAUGAAUUUUCCAGAAUACAAGAUGUAGUUUCGGUAACAUUAGUAUAGUUAAUGCAAUUAUAUGGGUUUCCUUCUUGUGUAGCUUA